GAAGGAUUUUACUCUUUCCUUCACUGGACACUUUUUCUUCCAGAUGUUCCUCUCCUGCCUUUUCAUCAUUCAGUGGUGUAUUUAGCAAGAUUCACAAGUUUCUCAUGUUUAAACAGUGUUUACAUCCCAGUUUUCUGAAGGAGAACAGAUUAUUUUUUUUUUGUCUUUAAAACUUUGGCCUGGUCUUUUCCAGCCUUUGAGGAGAUAAAGUCAUCUGGGGACAGUUCCUCUUUGUCCUUAUUGUCUCUCUGCUGAGGGUCUUGGUACCAGCUUUUGUGAGGUUGCAGCUUCAUUACAGAUGUGCACAGGCAGCUCUGAACCUGAGUCUUUUAUUCCUUGCUCUCAGUAUACCAUGAUCCCUAGACAUGAGAUCACAGCAAGAGAUGCUCAUCACCCAUGUGCUUAUCCAGUGAUGGGAACAUGGGUUCUGUCUGUGUUGCAAAUGCAUCUUUGCAUUUACAGCUCUUCUGUGAAGCUUUUUGCCACAGUAUCACCACACAGCUCCCUUAAAUUAACAUCCCACCAGCUCUCAGCACCAGGGAAAGCACAGGGAGCUGGGAGAAUGGACAUGGAGGCCAAAGAGAUUAAAAACCUUGCCCAAGGAUGCUCAGGGGUCUGAGCUGCUCAAGAAGACCCACAGCAAACGCCGCCUUGCUGAGCUCCUGUGCUCUGAAUAUUCCAGUGGGAUGGACACUGCUGGAGCCAAGGUCAAGAAGAAGAAGAAAAAGCAGAGAAAAGCUGGCAACCAGCAGAUUCCAGCAUAAGCCAGGCCCUUCCAGUCUUUGGCUGUAAAAGCUGCUUGAGUGCCUCAGCCGGGGGUCAGGGUGACCUGCCAAAGCAGCUGAGGAGUGUUUCAAUUUAUCAGGCAAGUGUGGGAGGGAUCCUGGGGAUCUUGGCCUCCUCCCCUUCAUUCCAUAGGUCCAAGUGGAAUGGAAUCUGGGCGUGUCCUGUUGCACUGCUGCAGUUCAAUGUGGCCUCCUGAAGAUGCGCCGUGUUCCUGAGAUGGUUUUUUAGCAAGAAAAAUAAAAAAAAGGUUAAAUGUGAUUUUCAGAGAAACGUGAUGUGUGUGCAACAUAGAAGUGAGACAAGUUUGGGCAGGCAGGAGGUGCUUUUCUCUCUAAGGAGCACUCCACAAUCCCUUCACUUGCUGUUUCCAGCCAGGUAAGCAUGGCAGGGGAGGAGCACCAUGGAGAGGGAAAUCUGCCCUGUGCCCUGUCACUGCACAGGGAGCACUUCUGCUCCUGUCUCAGGCAAUGAAGCCACACUGCUGCCACCUCCUCUCCUGUCCUCUGUGCCCUGGGCAGGGUCUGUCCCUGGUCACUGUUAGUCACAAUUGCCACCUGCAGGGAUGCCAGUGGCAGGGUUGUGCAGAGCUCUUCAGUGCAGUGACACACAGUCCCUUUGGGGCAGUGCUCAUGGGCACAGAACUCCCUGUCAGAGCUCCUGGGGACAAACAUUGUCACUGUGGGAAGGAGCCAGAGUGGAAUCCAGCAGUCUCCAAACUUCUCCUUGCCUGCAGCAUGUUGUCAUUCCUGAUUAUGUAACACAGAGGGAGUCUGAGAUGUCUCACCUCUCUGAACAUUAAAGCCUUUGCAGAUUCUUGCAAACCCUUGCCAGUCGUGACCCAGCCUUUUGGGGUUCUCUGCCUUGCCUGGGCCUGUUUGGGCUAAUGGAUUUCACUUCUUGCUUUUCCCAUUUGCCAUCCAUCUUGUUCCCAUCAGAGAACUGGGACUCUGGGAAAAGGGAUGCAGGAUGGCCCCAGUGUGCUGAGACUGGCACUUGUUCACCAGAGUCUGUGAAAUGAAACCCAAACUUUCCCACUGUGGGUGGGAAAAUGCCCCCAAAGCCUGCAGGAGAUUUCCCUACAGGUGAGCCCCCACCUGUCCCUCCCUCUGCUUCUUCCAGCCCCUCCUAGAGCACAAGCACCAAGCAGGGCAGGGGUGAGAACAGCACAAACCCAGCCAAAACACAACUUUGCUCCCUGCACGUGUCUUCCUCAAGGAAAGGGGUGAGGAAGAGCAGCCCACCAUGACCUGAGCCAGGCAUGUUUAAUGCAGGAGCAGAAAGUGCUCAAACAGUGGCAAUUUCAGAUGUCAGAAGGAAGAAAAGUACUGAAAAAGGAGUAUAAACAGAUGAAAAUGAUGCCUUGUAAAUGCAGAAUUGAGGGCACCUACUUUGGGCUGUAGUGAGUCAUACAAAGGAUUGUAGGAGAGCAGCAAUCAACCCCAAAGUAUUUAAUUUCUGAAGUGCAGGUAACUUUUGAAACCAGAAUUUUUCUUUCCUCCCAGGCAAUUAUUAAACACUCUGAUUUCACUGCAAUACUGUUUUCAACACUUCUGAAAGAUGACAGAAAGGUUCCAGUAUCAAAUUAAUCAUCAUUUUCAGAGACAAUGAAGUUACAAACAUUUAUUAGAUUAAAAUAAAAACAAAGCCCACCUGAUUUAGUUAUGAGAACUAUUUGGAAGAGCAAUCAGGUAUAAGGCAGAUGUCAACUUAAACAGAAAAGAAACCCCUGAGGAUGAAAAUGACUCAGAAUGAUGCAGAGAGUGCAAGUUUGGGAAUGCUCUUGUGCAUGAAGGGAAAGUACAUGACCUUCUCCUGGCUGACUGUCACGUAGGAAUUAAUAGGGACUAUUGGCAAAUUCAUAAGAGUGGGAAAAAAGGCCAACAGCACAUAGGUGAGAGACAUCAGGAGAUCUCAUUGCUGCCUGUAUUAACUGGGCAUGAAACAGUACAAAUGAUUAUGAUGAAUAAAGUG
ensembl:lncRNA